CUCAAUUGUGGAUAUGCUGUAGCCGUCCUUGGACAGGCCCAUUUUGGGCAAGGCAGUGGUCAGAUCUGGGCUGAUAAAUUUAACUGUGAGGGCAGCGAGGCUGACUUAUUUAAGUGCCCCGCCUCUGAAUACGGACGAGGUGACUGCACUCAUGAGAAUGAUGCUGGUGUUAUUUGUACUGCACAGGCAGGUCGAGUCCGGUUGGCAGCGGGACCGAGUCGCUGUGAAGGCCGGGUGGAAGUUUACUACAACAGGACCUGGGGGAGAGUUCUCCACGACUCCUGGGGCCUCACAGAGGCUUCCGUGGUGUGCAGAGAGCUGGACUGUGGCUCUGCAAUGGAAGUCUCUAACUCCUCUUGAUACGGGACAGGGCACAGUGAUGUGUGUCUGACAGGCAUUCGCUGCACCGGGGACGAGUCCCAUCUGAUAAACUGCAGCCUUCCACAGCAAGUCAGCUGCAAUACCAGUAACAGUGCGGCUGUGCUGUGCUCCAAUCACACGGCCCUCAGGCUGGUUGGGGGAGGAGGUGCCUGCGCUGGGAGGGUGGAGGUUUAUCACAACAGCUCCUGGGGGACGGUCUGCGAUGACUCCUGGGACCUG